GACGAACGCUGGCGGCGUGCCUAAUACAUGCAAGUUGAGCGCUGAAGGUUGGUACUUGUACCAACUGGAUGAGCAGCGAACGGGUGAGUAACGCGUGGGGAAUCUGCCUUUGAGCGGGGGACAACAUUUGGAAACGAAUGCUAAUACCGCAUAAAAACUUUAAACACAAGUUUUAAGUUUGAAAGAUGCAAUUGCAUCACUCAAAGAUGAUCCCGCGUUGUAUUAGCUUGUUGGUGAGGUAAAGGCUCACCAAGGCGAUGAUACAUAGCCGACCUGAGAGGGUGAUCGGCCACAUUGGGAGUGAGACACGGCCCAAACUCCUACGGGAGGCAGCAGUAGGGAAUCUUCGGCAAUGGACGAAAGUCUGACCGAGCAACGCCGCGUGAGGGAAGAAGGGUGUCGGAUCGUAAAACUCGGUUGGUAGAGAAGAACGUGGGUGAGAGUGGAAAGCUCAUCAAGUGACGGUAACUACCCAGAAAGGGACGGCUAACUACGUG
rnacentral:rRNA from 1 species